UACGGAGGGGGCUAGCGUUGUUCGGAAUUACUGGGCGUGAAGCGCACGUAGGCGGCUUUGCAAGUUAGAGGUGAAAGCCCAGGGCUCAACCCUGGAAUUGCCUUUAAAACUGCAUCGCUAGAAUUGUGGAGAGGUAAGUGGAAUUCCGAGUGUAGAGGUGAAAUUCGUAGAUAUUCGGAAGAACACCAGUGGCGAAGGCGACUUACUGGACACAUAUUGACGCUGAGGUGCGAAAGCGUGGGGAGCAAACAGG
rnacentral:rRNA from 1 species